rnacentral:lncRNA from 1 species
CGAACUCUUCUUUUUGGCGAAGGCCCCUAGCCUUUAAGGGUGUUAUUUCGAACUUAUCAAAAUAGUAACCCAUCAUCGUUCGAUCGAGGUCAAACUCUUCUUUUUGGCGAAGGCCCCUAGCCUUCAAGGGUGUUAUUUCGAUCUUAUCGAAAAAGUAACCCAUCGUCGUUCGAUCGAGGUCAAAGUUUUCUUUUUGGUGAAGGCCCCUGGACUUAAACGGUGUUAUUUCGAACUUAUUGAAAUAGUAACCCGUCAUCAUAUGAUCGAGGUCGAACUCUUCUUUUUGGCAAAGGCCCCUAGCCUUUAAGGGUGUUAUAUCGAAUUUAUCGAAAUAGUAACCCAUCAUCGUACGAUCGAGGUCGAACUCUUCUUUUUGGCGAAGGCCCCUGGCCCUUAAAAUGUGUUAGUUCAAACAUAUCGAAAUAGUAACCCGUCGUCGUUCGAUCGAGGUCGAACUCUUCUUUUUGGCGAAGGCCCCUGGACUUAAAGGGUGUUAUUUCAAACUUAUCAAAAUAGUAACUCGUCGUCAUUCUAUCGAGGUCGAACACUUCUUUUUGGCGAAGGCCCCUGGCCUUAUAGGGUGUUAUUUUGAACUUAUCAAAAUAGUAACCUGUCGUCGUUCGAUCGAGGUCAAACUCCUCUUUUUGGCGAAGGCCCCUGUUCUUAAAGGGUGUUAUUUCGAAUUUAUCGAAAUAGUAACUCGUCAUCGUACGAUCGAGGUCGAACUCUUCUUUUUGGCGAAGGCCCCUAGCCUUUAAGGGUGUUAUUUCGAACUUAUCAAAAUAGUAACUCAUCGUCGUAUGAUCGAGGUCGAACUCUUCUUUUUGGCGAAGGCCUCUGGCCUUAAAGGGUGUUACUUCGAACUUAUCGAAAUAGUAACUCGUCGUCGUUCGAUAGAGGUUGAACUCUUCAUUUUGGCGAAAGCCCUUAGCCUUAAAGGGUGUUAUUUCGAACUUUAUGAAAUAGUAACCCAUUGUCAUUCGAUCGAGGUCGAACUCUUCUUUUUGGCGAAGGCCUCUGGCCUUAAAGGGUGUUACUUCGAACUUAUCGAAAUAGUGACCCGUCGUCAUUCGAUCGAGGUCAAACUCUUCUUUUUGGCGAAGGCCCCUAGCCUUAAAGGGUGUUAUUUCGAACUUAUAUAGUAACCCGUCGUCGUAUGAUCGAGGUCAAACUCUUCUUUUUGGCGAAGGCCUCUGGCCUUAAAGGGUGUUAUUUCAAACUUAUCGAAAUAGUCACCCGUCAUCGUUCGAUAGAGGUUGAACUAUUCAUUUUGGCGAAAGCCCCUAGCCUUAAAGGGUGUUAUUUCGAACUUUACGAAAUAGUAACCCAUUGUCAUUCGAUCGAGGUC